rnacentral:rRNA from 1 species
GACGUAGGGCGCGAGCGUUGUCCGGAUUUAUUGGGCGUAAAGGGCUCGUAGGCGGUUUGUCGCGUCGGGAGUGAAAACACGGGGCUUAACCCCGUGCCUGCUUCCGAUACGGGCAGACUAGAGGUAUGCAGGGGAGAACGGAAUUCCUGGUGUAGCGGUGAAAUGCGCAGAUAUCAGGAGGAACACCGGUGGCGAAGGCGGGUCUCUGGGCAACAACUGACGCUGAGGAGCGAAAGCGUGGGUAGCGAACAGG